rnacentral:rRNA from 1 species
UACAGAGGUCUCAAGCGUUGCUCGGAAUCACUGGGCGUAAAGGGCGCGUAGGCGGGGAGGUAAGUCGGGUGUGAAAUCCCUCGGCCCAACCGAGGAACUGCGCCCGAGACUGCUUCUCUUGAGUCCCGGAGAGGAAGAUGGAAUUCCCGGUGUAGCGGUGAAAUGCGUAGAGAUCGGUAGGAACACCAGUGGCGAAGGCGGUCUCCUGGGUUAUCUUGACGCUGAUGCGCGAAAGCUGGGGGAGCGAACGGG